UCCUCCAUAGUUUUUUAGGAACAUUGAUUUUGUAAAUCAAAGGAUUUUAUAGAGGAG
rnacentral:tRNA from 1 species